rnacentral:RNase_P_RNA from 1 species
UCAGCACUAAUCAAGCUUAAGGACUUACAUACCGGGUAUUGAUUACUCACCUUUAGUCCUGGGAAGGUCUGAGACCCGCACCUGAACUUAUACCUCCUAGCAGGAGGCUUUCCGAGCAGGGAAGGCAAGGGAACAAGAAAUAGCGGUGAGUGGAGGUCUGUGCUUGGGACGCAGCAAUGCUGAAGCUGUACCUCUGCUCUACCGGUGGAAACUCUUGUGGUGGGCUGUUUUAGUUGGAUUAGCUCGGCGCAAUUUUUUGUGUAACUCAAUUCAGACUAAUCUUGUGCUGA